GCCCCCUUUGUGCAACUUGUUAGAUAGAACUUACCAACAUUAUGAUAAAAAGAGCCAACUUAAUUUUUGUUCUGAUGGAGUAUUGUGUUUUGGGUGGCACUUAUUUUUUGUUCAACUGGGCAGCAAAUCAUGUGCAACUUUUCUUUUAAUUCAAACUAGCCAACUUCAUAUAUAAAAGUGGCCAACCCACCACAUUUUCUCUCCCCUGUGCAACUUCUGUUAAUUUGACUAAUACAUUGUUCGUAUUUUUUUGCAAAGACCAAAAUGGCUGGAGAAGGAGAUGUGGCUGACAAUGAAACAGAGGGUUCUGCAAAUCCGAUCUCACGACGGAACUCAAAAAGGGCUGCUAAGCGGCAGCCGCGUGGCGAUGAUAAGGACGGGGAUGGAGAGGGUGACGAUGGUGGCGAAAGAUUCCUCUUAGUAAAACUGCAGAGAAGAAAGGUGCGCACGGAGGCAGUAUCCAAAGGGGUAAAUGCCACAUCUUCUGCAGCAGUCGCUGAGGUAACAUAAAAUUCCAUCAGCAAUAUUUUUUACUCCACAUACAGGCAGCCAAGUGUAUUAAUUUUCAUACAUAGUUGCAGCAGGACUAAUUAAGCAUUGGCAUGCUCAACUUUCUCAGUUGCUUAACGUUGCCUCUUCAAGUUUUUUAGAAUUGUCGCAAGAGUAUGUAACGACUUGGCAUCCUCAGGCUUUCUAGUUGCAGAAUAGUAUCUAAUUAGUUGGCAACCUCAGUAAUUCUAGUUGCACAACAAUAUACAACUAGUUGACAUCCUCAGCUUCUCUAGUUGCACAAAAACUCAUAUUAGUCUCAUCUUAAAAAAAUUAAGGAUUUCCCUAUAGUAUGUAACGACUUGGCACCCUCAGGCUUUCUAGUUGCAGAAGAGUGUCUAUUUAGUUGGCACCCUCGGCAAUUCUAGUUGGAUAACAUUAUUCAAGUAGUUGACAUCCUCAGCCUCUUUAGUUGCACAAGAAUUCAGAUUAAUCCCAUCUUAAAAAAUUUGAGGAUUGCCCAACGGUAUCUAGUCACUUGGCACCCUCGGGCUUUCUAGUUGGACAACAUUAUCCAAGUAGUUGACAUCCUCAGCCUCUCUAGUUGCACAAGAAUUCAGAUUAAUCCCAUCUUAAAAAUUUUGAGGAUUGCCCAACGGUAUCUAAUCACUUGGCACCCUCAGGCUUUCUAGUUGCAGAAGAGUAUCUAUUUAGUUGGCACCCUCGGCAAUUCUAGUUGGACAACAUUAUCCAAGUAGUUGACAUCCUCAGCCUCUCUAGUUGCACAAGAAUAUCUCAUUAGUUGGCAUCAUCAACAUUUCUAGUAGCACAAGAAUAUCUGAUUAGUUGUCAUCACCAGCAUUUCUAGUUGCAGAACAAACAGGAUAUCAAGUUGCCAUCCUCAACAUUUUAAUCUAGUUUUCCAUAGAACAAAUAUUUGUAUGUAAUGAUAACUAAUCACCUCUGCCUUUUUUUUGCAAACCCCGAGAUAUUGUUCAAGGGAAUGAGAGUAAUGAAGCAGAUAAUGUUGAACGAUAGUCACAAGCUGGCUACCUGAUGGAGACUGCCUGGCUGGGACCCUUUCUUUCAUUGAGAAGAAGAAGGAGGAGCCCUGUGGAGAAGGAAGUGUGGGCGAGGGGUGCGUGGAGGCUUCGGGAGUUAGUGGGCUAUCACGUGAUACCAUCUGGCCUUUGUUUUCUGAUUCUUCAUGGAUUCUAGGAGUCGGAACGAAGUUUCCUUUAUGGGAACAGUGGGGACAAAAAGUUACCUUUUCCGAUGGGCUGCUCGCGAGCGCUAGCAGGCCAACGGCCGCUAGCCAGACGCGUCCCGAAAUUAAAGGUUUAUAGGUACACGGCACUACAUCCUGUCCAUUUUUGCACAGGUACUACAUCCUGUCUAUUUUUGCAUAUGCAACUACUCCUUUUUUGUUUUUUUGUUUAUAUGCGCACAUCCAGGCAAAAGUUGGCUUGGAUUCAUGUUUAGUUGCACAAAUAGAUGGUUUUUUGCACAGGCACUUCACCCUGUCUAUUUUUUACAUAUGGGUUGGUUUAUUUGCAUGCAUCCAGGCGAAAGUUGGCUUGGAUCCAUGUUUAGUUGCACAGGAAAGUGUUUUAUUGUGCAGAGAUCAGAUUCAACUCUAUUUGCUGCUUCAUGUUCCUUCUUCCUCCAACUAUGGAGAAGACCGGAGAAGAUUUGUGGCAGAUCCAGAGGGAAAGGGAAGGGGAAAGUGAAGAAGGAUGAUCUGGAGGCUAGAGGGAAGUUACCUGAUGUUGCUGCCUGCUAUGGCUUUGUACUCCCUCUUCUUAGAAUUGAAGCUUUUCUGGCCAAUUUCUUCACCUAGUUUUGCUCUGCCAUGGCAGCUCUGUAGGGUUUGGAUCCAGGCCUAGGAUCCCCUUCUUUCGUGGAGAAGAAGGGCGACCCGUGGGGGG